CUCACAUAUAUAAUUUAAAUGCUUGGUUACCUUUGUUCCAUUCUAUGCUUACAUUAUCAGAACAGUGGUAACUAGGCAUGUGAGUUAUCAAUUCACUCACAUAUAUAAUUUAAAUACUUGGUUACCUUUGUUUCAUUCUAUGCUUACAUUAUCAGAACAGUGGUAACUAGGCAUGUGAGUUAUCAAUUCACUCACAUAUAUAAUUUAAAUACUUGGUUACCUUUGUUACUUUCUAUGCUUACAUUAUCAGAACAGUGGUAACUAGGCAUGUGAGUUAUCAAUUCACUCACAUAUAUAAUUUAAAUACAUGGUUAUCUUUGUUCCAU